CGCCCGCUUCUCUCUGGAGUACGCGCCCAGCGGCCCUGGGUUCGCCGCGGCUGUAGUUCCCCGGCUGGCUGCGGUCACUGGUGCCAGUGCUCAGGCGCCCGCCGCCCUUGACCUCCGGCCCCGCGAGCCCUAACUCAGCGCAGGAGGACCGGCCUCCGCCGCCAGGUAGGACGAGCCUGGCUGGGUCAGGCCGGAAGGGUGUCCGUGGCGCGGGUCUCCCGCGGAGCGCAGAACUGGGACCUGACCCCCAGCCGCUUCUGACCACACCGACGGGGGGACCUUUCUGAGCCUCACUAACUGCGGGGCUCUGAUGCUGGUGUCUGGUAGAAGAAGGUUGCUCACAGCUCUGCUGCAGGCUCAGAAGUGGCCCUUUCAACCCUCCAGAGACAUGAGACUAGUACAGUUCCAGGCACCCCACCUGGUGGGGCCUCACUUGGGCCUGGAAACAGGGAAUGGUGGAGGGGUUAUCAACCUCAAUGCCUUUGACCCCACACUCCCGAAGACGAUGACACAGUUCCUAGAGCAGGGAGAGGCCACCCUCUCAGUGGCAAGAAGAGCCUUGGCUGCCCAGUUGCCAGUCCUGCCACGGUCGGAGGUAACCUUCCUGGCUCCAGUCACACGGCCAGAUAAGGUGGUGUGUGUGGGCAUGAAUUAUGUGGACCACUGCAAAGAACAGAACGUGCCCGUGCCCAAGGAGCCCAUCAUCUUCAGCAAGUUUGCCAGCUCCAUCGUGGGGCCCUAUGAUGAGGUGGUCCUCCCACCAGAGAGCCAGGAAGUAGAUUGGGAAGUGGAGCUGGCCGUGGUCAUUGGAAAGAAAGGCAAGCACAUCAAGGCCACAGAUGCCAUGGCCCACGUGGCCGGCUUCACUGUGGCUCAUGACGUGAGUGCUCGUGACUGGCAAAUGAGACGCAAUGGGAAACAGUGGCUGCUGGGGAAAACCUUCGACACCUUCUGCCCUCUGGGCCCUGCCUUGGUGACCAAGGACAGUGUAGCAGAUCCACACAACUUAAAGAUCUGCUGCCGAGUGAACGGGGAAGUAGUCCAGAGCAGCAACACCAACCAGAUGGUAUUCAAGACGGAGGACCUGAUAGCCUGGGUCUCCCAGUUUGUCACCUUUUACCCAGGGGAUGUCAUCCUGACUGGGACCCCCCCAGGUGUCGGUGUAUUCAGGAAACCUCCUGUGUUUCUCAAGAAGGGGGAUGAAGUCCAGUGUGAGAUUGAAGAACUAGGUGUCAUCAUCAACAAGGUGGUGUGAUGGCUCCUGCACAGGCCCUGGACAUAGGAUGGGGGCAUCUGCUCCCACUCAGCCUAGCCCAGGGAAAGGCCCAGUGACAGGUCUCUGAAGGUCCAGAUAGCACUGAUGGCGAGCUUUGGGUCCGCACACUCUGGAGAGGAGAGAGAGGUGAAGGCUCUAGGUAGGGAGGACAGGGAGCCAUUGGGCACAGGAUUCUCUCCUCCUGUGUAAAGCAGCAGCCCAGGGAGGGAUAGAGCUCAGACUGGACAGAAGACCCUCUGAACUCUGCAGCGCUCCUUCUAGAGUUGGGUUGUCACUGUCCGGCAGGGGGCAGCAACCACCAGCAAACACCCCUGCCUCCAGGAGCCUGGGCUGACUGGCUGGGACUCACCAAAGAUCCCUUCUUCCUGGGCGGUGGCCUGGAGGAACUGGAACAGCUGCUCUGUGUAGCCCGACUCUGCAGAAAAGAGAAGACCUAGACCUGGCGCCCUACACCGACAGCCUGCCUCGAGGACUGCAAGGGAACAAGGGCCUCACCAGUAUCGGGCAGCUGGCCCUGGUGGAGGAAGGCGGCAGCCUGUGCAAAGGCCUUGAGCAGUGGGCUGAGCAGGCGGCAGAGGAAGAGAAAGAAGUCUGGGCAGUGUGACUGCUGGCUGAGCUGGGGGGGACAGGCCGGGGUGAGCGCAGCUCCCUACCACCUCCCUCCAGGGGCGGCUUCUUGAAACACACCCUGAAGUACCGGCCCUCAGCCUCUUCAAAGUCAUCACUGUCACUAUCAGUAAAGUCCCCACUUGGUUUCCACAGCAGCUUCCUGCUCAGUCGCUGUCGCCCUGUGUCACAGGCUGACCGGGAGCCUGGGGUCUAGGGGCCAUGGAGCCAUAGUUCUCUGACAGGCUGGUCAGGGAUCAACCCUAUACCCCCAGACCAGGUACAUGCCGGUGAAUCCAGUAAAAGCAGACCUAGAGGCCCAAGAGCUUGCUAUGCAGAAGCUUUUUAACUUGAUGUGCUCCCAUUAGUCCAAUUUUGCUUUGGCUGCCUCUGUUUGUAGGGUAGUGCUAAAUAAAUUUUUGAGCAAAGUGUAGUGGCUCGUGCCUGUAAUCCCAGUGCUUUGUGACACUUACAGGGGUGGAUUGCUUGAGGCCAGGAGUUCAAGAUGAGUC